CUAUGACGGGGUAUCCGGCCUGAGAGGGUGAUCGGACACACUGGAACUGAGACACGGUCCAGACUCCUACGGGAGGCAGCAGUAGGGAAUAUUGCUCAAUGGGGGAAACCCUGAAGCAGCAACGCCGCGUGGAGGAUGAAGGUUUUAGGAUUGUAAACUCCUUUUGUAAGAGAAGAUUAUGACGGUAUCUUACGAAUAAGCACCGGCUAACUCCGUGCCAGCAGCCGCGGUAAUACGGAGGGUGCAAGCGUUACUCGGAAUCACUGGGCGUAAAGAGCGCGUAGGCGGGAUAGUAAGUCAGAUGUGAAAUCCUGUGGCUUAACUACAGAACUGCAUUUGAAACUGCUAUUCUAGAGUGUGGGAGAG
rnacentral:rRNA from 1 species